UACAGAGGGGGCAAGCGUUGUUCGGAAUUACUGGGCGUAAAGGGCGCGUAGGCGGCCUUCUAAGUCGAACGUGAAAUCCCCGGGCUCAACCCGGGAACUGCGUCCGAUACUGGAAGGCUUGAAUUCGGGAGAGGGAUGCGGAAUUCCAGGUGUAGCGGUGAAAUGCGUAGAUAUCUGGAGGAACAUCAGUGGCGAAGGCGACACCCUGGACUCAUACUGACACUGAGGUGCGAAAGCGUGGGGAGCAAACAGG
rnacentral:rRNA from 1 species